rnacentral:rRNA from 1 species
UACGUAGGCAGCAAGCGUUGUUCGGAGUUACUGGGCGUAAAGGGUGUGUAGGCGGUUGGAUAAGUGUGGUGUGAAAUCUCCCGGCUCAACCUGGAGACGCCACCCGAUACUGCCAUGGCUAGAGUCCGGUAGGGGACCACGGAAUUCCUGGUGUAGCGGUGAAAUGCGCAGAUAUCAGGAGGAACACCGGUGGCGAAGGCGGUUCUCUGGGCAUGUCCUGACGCUGAGGAGCGAAAGUGUGGGGAGCGAACAGG